rnacentral:lncRNA from 1 species
CCCACAAAUAUAAAAAAUAGAAAAAGCAGAUAUAAUAAAAUCCAAGAAAGAAUGAGAGGGAGAGAGGAAUUGAACCUUACUAAUAAAACUUAUUAUUAUAGCAAAUAUAAAUGACAGAUACUGUGUAAGCAACACAAUAUUGCUUAUUCUAAUCUUAACUUCAAGUCAAAGCAUGCAAGCAAGAUUAUUGAAGGUUACAUAGAUGCUCCUUCUCUUAUUUUUUAAGUGCAUAAAUGCAUAUUAGUAUCCAUUCAUAAUAACCCUUACAUAACUCUUCUUCAUCCCAGGUACUUCCUUGUAUUCUUUACUAUCAACUACGCUGCUGGCGCUACAUCAACCCCACUAUCAUCAUCGUCGUCAUCAUCAUCAUUUUCAUUCCGAUGGUUGCGGAAUUCGGUUGUAGACAAGUCAUUGCCCAUGGCAAACAUGGGCAGACCAGAAUCCAUGCAACAAAGUACCACCAUUGCAGCUAGUACUUUUGACAGAAUACUACAAAUUGUAUUGGUUGCAACUUUUAACUACCUUGUUGAUU